CCGAGAAUCUUUCGCAAUGCCCGAAAGGGUGACGAAGCGACGCCGCGUGCGGGAGGAAGGCCUUCGGGUUGUAAACCGCUGUCGGGAGUUAAGAAAUGCAAGGAUGUUAAUAGCGUUCUUGCUUGACUAAGGCUCCGGAGGAAGCCACGGCUAACUCUGUGCCAGCAGCCGCGGUAAUACAGAGGCGGCAAGCGUUGUUCGGAAUUAUUGGGCGUAAAGAGCACGUAGGCGGCUGCGUAAGUCGGUUGUGAAAGCCUUCCGCUCAACGGAAGAACGGCAUCCGAUACUGCAUGGCUUGAGUGUGGGAGGGGAGAGUGGAACUUCUGGUGGAGCGGUGAAAUGCGUAGAUAUCAGAAGGAACACCGGCGGCGAAGGCGACUCUCUGGUCCAUAACUGACGCUGAGUGUGCGAAAGCUAGGGGAGCAAACGGGAUUAGAUACCCCGGUAGUCCCUGAGCGGGCUGGCAAGGCGCAU
rnacentral:rRNA from 1 species